CAGGCCUAACACAUGCAAGUCGAGCGGAAACGAGUUAUCUGAACCUUCGGGGGACGAUAACGGCGUCGAGCGGCGGACGGGUGAGUAAUGCCUAGGAAAUUGCCCUGAUGUGGGGGAUAACCAUUGGAAACGAUGGCUAAUACCGCAUGAUGCCUACGGGCCAAAGAGGGGGACCUUCGGGCCUCUCGCGUCAGGAUAUGCCUAGGUGGGAUUAGCUAGUUGGUGAGGUAAGGGCUCACCAAGGCGACGAUCCCUAGCUGGUCUGAGAGGAUGAUCAGCCACACUGGAACUGAGACACGGUCCAGACUCCUACGGGAGGCAGCAGUGGGGAAUAUUGCACAAUGGGCGCAAGCCUGAUGCAGCCAUGCCGCGUGUGUGAAGAAGGCCUUCGGGUUGUAAAGCACUUUCAGUCGUGAGGAAGGUAGUGUAGUUAAUAGCUGCAUUAUUUGACGUUAGCGACAGAAGAAGCACCGGCUAACUCCGUGCCAGCAGCCGCGGUAAUACGGAGGGUGCGAGCGUUAAUCGGAAUUACUGGGCGUAAAGCGCAUGCAGGUGGUUUGUUAAGUCAGAUGUGAAAGCCCGGGGCUCAACCUCGGAAUAGCAUUUGAAACUGGCAGACUAGAGUACUGUAGAGGGGGGUAGAAUUUCAGGUGUAGCGGUGAAGUGCGUAGAGAUCUGAAGGAAUACCGGUGGCGAAGGCGGCCCCCUGGACAGAUACUGACACUCAGAUGCGAAAGCGUGGGGAGCAAACAGGAUUAGAUACCCUGGUAGUCCACGCCGUAAACGAUGUCUACUUGGAGGUUGUGGCCUUGAGCCGUGGCUUUCGGAGCUAACGCGUUAAGUAGACCGCCUGGGGAGUACGGUCGCAAGAUUAAAACUCAAAUGAAUUGACGGGGGCCCGCACAAGCGGUGGAGCAUGUGGUUUAAUUCGAUGCAACGCGAAGAACCUUACCUACUCUUGACAUCCAGAGAGCUUUCCAGAGAUGGAUUGGUGCCUUCGGGAACUCUGAGACAGGUGCUGCAUGGCUGUCGUCAGCUCGUGUUGUGAAAUGUUGGGUUAAGUCCCGCAACGAGCGCAACCCUUAUCCUUGUUUGCCAGCGAGUAAUGUCGGGAACUCCAGGGAGACUGCCGGUGAUAAACCGGAGGAAGGUGGGGACGACGUCAAGUCAUCAUGGCCCUUACGAGUAGGGCUACACACGUGCUACAAUGGCGCAUACAGAGGGCGGCCAACUUGCGAAAGUGAGCGAAUCCCAAAAAGUGCGUCGUAGUCCGGAUUGGAGUCUGCAACUCGACUCCAUGAAGUCGGAAUCGCUAGUAAUCGUGGAUCAGAAUGCCACGGUGAAUACGUUCCCGGGCCUUGUACACACCGCCCGU
rnacentral:rRNA from 1 species